GAGUGAAAAAUAUGUUUUAUUACGUCAAACAGUUAAACACAUUAGCAGAAAGCCUUUACUCGUUUGGUUCCCUUGUGUUUCGCGUGGGAACGUACAGGAAACACAUCAAGGCAUUCUUUCUUUGUAAAUUAGCAUCGUUUUAUUAGCGAUGUUUGUGGCUUGCCCCACGGAGGCGGCCAGCCGCUGUCCGUGCGCUGCGGCUGCCGCUGCCCUGGGGCAGGACCCGGUGUUUUCCUUCUCGCCGUGCCCGCCACGCUCGGCGCUGCGGGGAAGCGCAGGGUCAGAGCCGGGGGAUGGAGAGAACCGCUCCGGGCCACACGCGGGGAGCAUCACCCGGGGCCGCCGGGCCGGGCACACCCCGGGCUGCGCUCAGACCCGCACUCCGGGACGCUGGGGGACGCUGGGCAGCCCCGGGAGGUGCGGGGAGUGCGGGGCACAGCCCGGCAGCCCCGCGCCCCCCCGGGCCCGCAGCUGCGCCCGUCCGUCAGCGCCGCCCCCCCGGGCGGGGCCGCCGAGCGCUGCCCCUUUAAGGCAGCGCAGCCCCGCGCGCAUUCCAGCGGCCGCGUCACCGUUCCGGGAAGCGGGUGGCGUCACCCCGCCAUCCCUCCCGCUGUCCAUCCCGCGGCGGCGGGGCGGGCCCCGGGGAACAAAGGCGGGAUAAAAAUAGAAGGUAGAGAAGAGGAAUAAAGAUGUGAGUGAGAAAUUUAGGAGAUGUGGAGUCUGCCACAAGGUGUUUUGGACAGGGUAAGGACUUCCUAUUCACAAAGUACCUCCUUUGGCUCCUGUGGUGUAAAGCUACAUGUACCUCCGGCUACAUGGAAAAUACUGCAAAAUAAUUAAAAUUCAAGAAGCCUGGAUUUAUUUGAAGUAACACCAACAGAGAUUUGGGAUGACUCCAUUAACAGCACUGCAGUCAUGCUGUUACUAAAAGGAUAUCUAAAGGUUCUUGGGGGUCUUACAAGGGAAAACUACAGUGAUUUAACAUCUUUCCAAGCUAUCAUUUGUUUGAUGUAGUGACUUAAUAGUGAUUUUGAAACAACAAUAAAAG